rnacentral:rRNA from 1 species
CCUACGGGGGGCAGCAGUGGGGGAUAUUGGACAAUGGGGGGAACCCUGAUCCAGCGACGCCGCGUGAGUGAAGAAGUAUUUCGGUAUGUAAAGCUCUGUCAGCAGGGAAGAAAGAAAUGACGGUUCCUGACCAAGAAGCCCCGGCUAACUACGUGCCAGCAGCCGCGGUAAUACGUAGGGGGCAAGCGUUAUCCGGAAUUACUGGGUGUAAAGGGGGCGUAGACGGUUAAGUAAGUCUGGAGUGAAAGGCCGGGGCCCAACCCCGGGACUGCUCUGGAAACUAUUGAACUUGAGUGCAGGAGAGGUAAGCGGAAUUCCUAGUGUAGCGGUGAAAUGCGUAGAUAUUAGGAGGAACACCAGUGGCGAAGGCGGCUUACUGGACUGUAACUGACGUUGAGGCUCGAAAGCGUGGGGAGCAAACAGGAUUAGAUACCCCAGUAGUC